rnacentral:rRNA from 1 species
AUUGAACGCUGGCGGCAGGCCUAACACAUGCAAGUCGAGCGAGAGGCGGACGGGAGAGAAAUGUAGGGGGAUCUGCCCGAGAGAGGGGGAUAACUACUGGAAACGGUGGCUAAAACAGCAUACUCACGGAUGAACCCAUAGGGGAAUAGCUAGUAGGUGGGGUAAAGGCUCACCUAGGAGACGACCACUAGGUGGUCUGAGAGGAUGAUCAGCCACACUGGAACUGAGACACGGCCCAGACUCCUACGGGAGGCAGCAGUGGGGAAUAUUGCACAAUGGGCGAAAGCCUGAGGCAGCCAGGCCGCGUGUAUGAUGAAGGCCUUCGGUGUGUAAAGUACUUUCAGCUGGGAGGCGUUACCCGCAGAAGAAGCACCGGCUAACUCCGUGCCAGCAGCCGCGGUAAUAC